UUGGUGAUUUCUUGGAGUGUUUGGGGUACUAACUAUUAACUUCUAACAUUACUUUGUCCGAUAAAAAAAAAAAACUUAUUCUGCUAGUAAUAAUAAAAGUGUAUAAUUUUAAAAAAUAUUUAACAAUUUAAAAUACAUUAUUACACACUUUUCACGGUUAUCAUUUUUUUCAAUAUAUUUCAUUAAUUAAUCCGCAUCUCCACAGAAUAAAUCGCCCAAGAGAUUUAUUGUAGAGGUCUGAAUCAUCCGGUGCUCCAACUUUUCAUUUAACUGAGUGUUAAGCAUUUUAAAUGCAAAAUAAAUCGCGAUGCUCCUAGUUUUCAUUUAACAAAGAUGGGGGUUGUCAACACCACCUAAUCCAUAAUUAGUGAAGUAACUCCGUAAAUUAGACGAGCAUUAAUAGGUGAAAAUGUGAGAUGGAAAAUUGCAGAAUCCCAACACAACACAGAGCAUGACAGCAAAUCAC
rnacentral:lncRNA from 1 species